UACGGGGGGGGCAAGCGUUGUUCGGAAUUACUGGGCGUAAAGGGCUCGUAGGCGGCCAACUAAGUCAGACGUGAAAUCCCUCGGCUUAACCGGGGAACUGCGUCUGAUACUGGAUGGCUUGAGUGUGGGAGAGGGAUGCGGAAUUCCAGGUGUAGCGGUGAAAUGCGUAGAUAUCUGGAGGAACACCGGUGGCGAAGGCGGCAUCCUGGACCAUAACUGACGCUGAAUAGCGAAAGCCAGGGGAGCAAACGGG
rnacentral:rRNA from 1 species